UACGUAGGGGGCAAGCGUUGUCCGGAAUCAUUGGGCGUAAAGAGCGUGUAGGCGGCCAGGUAAGUCUGCUGUGAAAACUCGAGGCUCAACCUCGAGACGGCGGCGGAAACCAUCUGGCUAGAGUCCGGAAGAGGAGAGUGGAAUUCCUGGUGUAGCGGUGAAAUGCGCAGAUAUCAGGAAGAACACCCGUGGCGAAGGCGGCUCUCUGGGACGGUACUGACGCUGAGACGCGAAAGCGUGGGGAGCGAACAGG
rnacentral:rRNA from 1 species